UACGAAGGGGGCUAGCGUUGCUCGGAAUUACUGGGCGUAAAGGGCGCGUAGGCGGCACUGUUAGUCAGGCGUGAAAGUCCUGGGCUCAACCUGGGAACUGCGCUUGAUACGGCAGAGCUAGAGGAUGGAAGAGGCUCGCGGAAUUCCCAGUGUAGAGGUGAAAUUCGUAGAUAUUGGGAAGAACACCGGUGGCGAAGGCGGGUCUCUGGGCCGAUACUGGACGCUGAGGAGCGAAAGCGUGGGGAGCGAACAGG
rnacentral:rRNA from 1 species